UGAACGACGGAGAAGGGCACAAAGGUCUCGCUCGAGAUGGGCGGGAUGUCUCUGGCUGCCACUCCGAAGCUGGAGGCGUAGUUGAAGAAGUUCUCCAGCAUUCGCUGACCAAAUUGCUUGUUGUCGUUGGCAGUGGACUGAAAAUUGGAAAUGGGGUUAGAUUUGAAUCGCAAUUAUUGCGCCAAUCAAAUCGGUUGGCAACUACUGAUCUUCAGAACUUACCACGGCUGGCGUCUGUUGGGCCACCGUUAGCUCCGGUUCGAGGGAAACUCCAAUCUGUGCGAUGUGUGAGAUCUCCUGGCUGCCGAAGACCAUCCCGUGAGCCUGGGCCUCCAGCUCGUGACUCUUCUUCAGCUGGGCGAUUUUGAAGAUGGCGGAGGGCUUGGUGUUGUUUAUGUGACCCAGAUACUGCCAUGUGGGUGCUGCGUUCGCGUCCGGCCAGCUGAAAUAUAUCGCAGCGGAGGUGCCGACGGGCAGGGGUGAUACGCCGGUGAGGAAUACUACCAGGUAGUUGACGGAUUCUAUGUCGGGCACAUUCACGAGCAACUUGGUGGCGUCCACGGCCACAAAAUCCGAUUGGGGCAGGCGUCCGGAGACUAUCAGACCGAAUAGCGACAUUUUCGAGCGGUGGACUAUUCCAGAAUUCGAUAUGCCCGCUUUGUUGGGGGAGGAGAUGUUAUGGAGAUGAGCAAAAAGGAACUACCUU
ensembl:ncRNA asRNA:CR45814 antisense RNA:CR45814